GGUCUUAUAGUCUAGUUGGUUAGGACGUCGGAUUCUGAUAAUCUCAGAACCUUCCGUAGGCCCAGGUUCGAAUCCUGGUAGGACCU
rfam:Colletotrichum chlorophyti strain NTL11 CCHL11_scaffold183, whole genome shotgun sequence.